UAGGGAAUCUUCGGCAAUGGACGAAAGUCUGACCGAGCAACGCCGCGUGAGUGAAGAAGGUUUUCGGAUCGUAAAACUCUGUUGGUAGAGAAGAACGUUGGUGAGAGUGGAAAGCUCAUCAAGUGACGGUAACUACCCAGAAAGGGACGGCUAACUACGUGCCAGCAGCCGCGGUAAUACGUAGGUCCCGAGCGUUGUCCGGAUUUAUUGGGCGUAAAGCGAGCGCAGGUGGUUUAUUAAGCCUGGUGUAAAAGGCAGUGGCUCAACCAUUGUAUGCAUUGGAAACUGGUAGACUUGAGUGCAGGAGAGGAGAGUGGAAUUCCAUGUGUAGCGGUGAAAUGCGUAGAUAUAUGGAGGAACACCGGUGGCGAAAGCGGCUCUCUGGCCUGUAACUGACACUGAGGCUCGAAAGCGUGGGGAGCAAACAGGAUUAGAUAGCCCUGGUAGUCCA
rnacentral:rRNA from 1 species